UACGUAGGGUGCAAGCGUUAAUCGGAAUUACUGGGCGUAAAGCGUGCGCAGGCGGUUUUGUAAGACCGAUGUGAAAUCCCCGGGCUUAACCUGGGAACUGCAUUGGUGACUGCAAGGCUUGAGUGUGUCAGAGGGAGGUGGAAUUCCGCGUGUAGCAGUGAAAUGCGUAGAUAUGCGGAGGAACACCGAUGGCGAAGGCAGCCUCCUGGGCUAACACUGACGCUCAGGCACGAAAGCGUGGGGAGCAAACAGG
rnacentral:rRNA from 1 species